CAUUAACACGCACAACCGAAUGAUCCCAAAACUCUGGAGUAUCCUGAGAAGUGCAUGUAAAAUCCAAGCAUAAGUCAAGUUCAUCGGAACGGCAGACAAGUCGGAGAAGAUGACAACUAAAACCAACCAUCUAACAAAUGAGUCACUUGAAAGCACCAGGCGAAUGGUACAAAUGACAAAUGAUAGCUUGAAUACUGGGGUCAAAACAAUGACUAUGUUAGAAGAGCAAGGAGAAACACUACAAAACGUGGAACGGGAGAUGGACCAGAUCAAGCAGGACAUGAAACAAGCCAGGAAAAACCUGAAUGAAUUGUCCAAAUGCUGCGGCCUGUGUUUGUGUCCAUGUAACAGACUGAAGUCCACAGAGAGUGACUGGAGAAAAAAGCAGGUCAGAAAACCAAAGGAAAGCAAGCAGAAGGUGGUAUCCAGCCAACCGACCUCGGCCUUCACCGGCCCCUACAUCAACAGAAUAACAAAUGAUGAGCGAGAAGAAGAGAUGGAAGGGAAUCUAAGUCAGGUGGUCCACCACGUGGAGAUUUUAAAGAACAUGGCACUGGACUUGAGCAACAAGAUUGAAGAUCAAAUCCAAAUAAUUGAUCAUGUCAAUGAUGAGAUUACAACUAUUACAAGUGAAGUUGCUGCUGCGGAAAAACAAGCCAGGAAACACCGAUAAGAGAAAUACAGAAAGGACCACCAAAAAUUAAUGUUCCUUUUUAUUGUUGUCAUUAUUAUCUUGAUGCUUUUGAUGGAAGUACAUGUCUAAUGUUCUCUGGACAAAAUGAGUGUCCAUAUGACAGUUCAGAUCAGCAUGGCCCUGUCCUUUGUGUUCAAGUGACCAGCAGAGGUUGCUGUUAGACUGCUCUGACAUCCAGCCACAAAAAGUGAUUUCUAAGAUGGAGGCCUGAAGAAGAUUGCUGCUUAUUCUCUGCCUACGCAAGACCUGAUCAUAAAGUAUGAAAAAUAAAACAUUUCUGA